CAUGUUUGUAAACAUUAAAGAUUCCGUUUUGUAACCUUAACUCCGGCUUCCAUAAUUAAGUGUUUCUAGUAUAAGAAAACCGUGAACUCCACCUAAAACAAAACCUAAUCAGAAAGUAGAAAGGUCGUUUUGAUAGUAAAGAAAGUUUACUUUGAAAAAGUGUAAACACGUAUGACCUAGUAAUCGAACUGUAUACAUAAAUCUACUAUAAAAUAUGGUUGGCUGUUACGUUCCACCCCCUACGGUUGUGAUAUAAGAAUUUCUACCUCUAUUUCCGAUAUGCAAUCUAUAUACAAAUGUACAUUUGUACUCAUUUUCUCCAGUGCUAAGUGGUAGUAAUAAGUAUGUAAAACUUUCUGAAACAAACAAUUAUAUUCUUAUAUUUAUUUGCCCGCAAGAAGCAUUUAUCGCACUGUGGGAAAAUGUUUCGCAGACCUGUGAUUUCCACUUAUGAAUGAACGUAAACAUUGUAGAUAAUUUGCCCUACAUCUGUAUACUUCCUGUACGUCUGUAAAGCUUAUAUCUAGCGAGAAAUGAAUAUCUAUCGUGUUUACAAUGGUUCAGUACAAAACCGGAACAAUAUGUAGUGUGAGGGGUUCUGAAGAUGACUGGCAAGUAAUUGGCUCACAGUAUGAUGGACUGGUAAUGAAAUAUGUUGUCCAAUCAAGGAAUUCUGGUGAAGUUAGAUGUUUGUUCAACUUUGAAGUUUUCGAAAAGUACACUUCCACAUACAAAGAAAAAAUGAAUUCUUUAAAAAUGCCACUGGGAUUUGUCUAGAUGAGAAUUCGGACUUCCUUGCCGAUGACCUGGAUGAAAUAGAAAUGGAAUCUGCUAACUCUGCAAUUAAUAGUUUAGAGCCAACCACUGAAGAACCAGAACCUCCAGUCUUACAGCAGCCAAAAAAAAAAGAUUCAAGAGCAUUUCAGAAUCGGACAUUACAAGCACAACAAGAUUAAAAGCACAGAUCACCGCGAGAACCACUGACAGGAGCACUAAAUGGGUCAUUGUCUUAUUUAAAGCCUGAAUGUCUGAAAAUGAGUAUCUAAAUGAAUCAUUUGAAGAUUAAGACCUGGAUCCAACAAUACUGGACACGCUUCUUCAGCAAGUCUAAGCUUGUCUGCAGAGCAGGAAAGGUGGAAACUACUCCAGAUCAGCACUAGUUGGUAUAAUUGCUCAAUUUGGACCACGCGGCAGGGAAGGUUUGCAAAAACUGGGGAAAAAACGAUCAUUUGUUAGGAGAAAAGAUGUGAAAGAUAGGCGUUACCUAACAAUGGCCUACAAUGAGGCAGAUAAAACGCAACUUGGACUAGACAGUCGAGAGAAAAGUAAGGAACCUAGGAUGUACGAAACAGUGGAUGAAUUCUGCCCACUUAGAAGCUUUAAGAAGUACCUUUCAAAGCUUCAUCCACAGUGUGAAAGGUUAUUUCAACGGCCACAAAUAUUUGUGUGAUGCGGUCAUAUAGACAGGAAGGAAAACUCAAACGACGCGAGGGUGA
rnacentral:lncRNA from 1 species